UACAGAGGGGGCAAGCGUUGUUCGGAAUUACUGGGCGUAAAGGGCGCGUAGGCGGCCGCCUAAGUCAGACGUGAAAUCCCUCGGCUCAACCGGGGAACUGCGUCUGAUACUGGGUGGCUUGAGUUUGGGAGAGGGACGCGGAAUUCCAGGUGUAGCGGUGAAAUGCGUAGAUAUCUGGAGGAACACCGGUGGCGAAGGCGGCGUCCUGGACCAACACUGACACUGAGGAGCGAAAGCCAGGGGAGCAAACGGG
rnacentral:rRNA from 1 species